rnacentral:rRNA from 1 species
CACGUAGGGCGCGAGCGUUGUCCGGAAUUAUUGGGCGUAAAGAGCUCGUAGGCGGCCUGUUGCGUCCGCUGUGAAAGCCCGGGGCUUAACCCCGGGUCUGCAGUGGAUACGGGCAGGCUAGAGGUAGGUAGGGGAGAAUGGAAUUCCCGGUGUAGCGGUAAAAUGCGCAGAUAUCGGGAGGAACACCGGUGGCGAAGGCGGUUCUCUGGGCCUUACCUGACGCUGAGGAGCGAAAGCGUGGGGAGCGAACAGG